UUCCAACCUCAGCCAUUCUAUGACUUCUAUUUUUGUUGUUGCUGUUGUUUGGUUUCAUAUUGUUUUUCUUUAAUUUGUGGAAAUCUGAAUUUACUGUUUUAAUUAAUGUUUGGAUUCAAAAACACACCAAAUUCCUGUUCUUGAAAUACCCCCAAAUCACUCCUUGCUACAUACCUCAAAAGUUAUUUUUUAGACCAAAUGUUUUCAUACUCUUAGUUAUAAAUAACAUGUAUGAUGGAAGAGUAAUAUUCAAGCCUAAUAAGUUUCAUUUGUGUAUCACAAAACACAAAAAAUGUACCUUGAAAUUAAAAGAAACAGAAUUGGCAACUUUUUGUUCUCUUGUGAAUAAAAGCUAACUAAAUUACCCUAAAGUAAAUGAACAAAAGGAAAAUAAAGAGUAGUUGCUUGGUUUUGGAUUGCCUGUGGUCUGUGAGUUUAUGUGCAAAGUUUGAAUCCGGAGGGAAUCUCAAGCCUUCGUAUACAAACUUUAUAAUGGAAAUGCUGUCAAAUUCUUAAGUACAGCAAGGCAAAUGGUGCAGCUAUAGCAUGUUAAAAAAAAAUAUGAAAAUGCUCUGAACACAGGGUGAAGGCUAGCUGUCUUGACACUGAAUGUAGAAAGGUAAAUGAUUGGAACUUUAAUUACUUUGAUCCGUCAUGCCUUGUAGCUAUAUGUCAGCUAAGCCAACAAAACUGACAUAGAACAAAGGCCGUGACUGUUUCAACAUCUUAACUCAUUUCUUAUGGUUGAUUAAUAAGUCUAUUGAAUGAAACAUAUGAUGAGAAUUGAGGAAAACAUCAAGUGUGUGUUUAUACACACACACAUUUCCUGUGAGCAUGACUUUUCUUCAGUGGAUGUAUUGGUUCAGACUAUGAAGGAGUGGCAUACUUGGUGUACAGCUCUUACCACGUGUCUGGGAAUGAAGGUCUAUAAGCAAUAUAUACAUACACUUUGGUGGGAUGUUGUCCUUCUCUAGACUAUGUCUAUUUUUAAGUAAAUCCACACACUCCUGGAAUAGCUCAGAUUCCUUAUCUCUCAUUAAUUAUGGGCUAGCCUAAAUUCCUGCUAGAUUGAAUGUCCACGACCACCCAGUAUUUUCUUUGUUAAGGAGGGAAAGUCCCCUAAGAUACUAUAAAGCCUGUAGUAAACUAUAAAGUACACUUCUUCAUGGUGACCUUUCUUCCUAGUCUACUGGCUUCUUUCCUUCCCAAAUCCAGACCUCUCUCUCAGGUACUAGCAGCAUUUCAGUCAUCUAGAACAGAAGUCCAAUGGGACAGCUCAUGUUUACGACUUGCAUUCAAGUCAUGUCUUUCAUUCCUGAAUGCUGAUCCUGAUUUGACAGAAUAAGGCAGCUACGAACUUCUGACCCAAAAUAACUUGGACCUAAAGCUUUCACUUUAAUUUCCUCUUUUCACAAAUCAUUCAGUUCAGUGCUGAUUUCAGAGGUACUUCUAUUAGUGUACUAGUAUGCUUGAUAUUAAUAAAUGUGGUUUCCAAGUAUAUGAUCUAGUUGCAGCAGGUAUGAUGAGAGAAUUUGGCCCAUGUAGCAAAACAGAACCAUUUGCCUAAACUGAUGCUAACUGACAGGUCAUGGCUGUGUGUCUCAGAGACAAAAUCAAAAUAUUUUAAUGAAUAAAAUGUGUAUUGCAGCAAUUGCACUAAGAACCAUGUGAAUAGUGAGGAAACUUGUGCAUGCUGGAGCUGUGUGGCCAUGAUGCUGAUUUCCAUGGCUCAUCAGAUCCCACGAUGUCCUGCUAAGACAUUUUGAGCUAGGAUCAGUCAUGCCAAGAUGGGUUCUGAGACUCAGCCCCUCCACCUGCAUGAACCAUCCUGACAGCGGUCUUGGACUUCCAAUGACUUCCAUAAAUCUUUUGCAGUAAUUAACUAUCCAAUUCUCACAUUUUAAGUGUAUGUUGAAUUACAGAAUCAGCAUUCAAGUUUGAAUGGUUUUUCCUGUCUCUAAUGUUGCUUAUAUUUGGAGCUAAUUUUUAGAGGAAGUCCUUCAAGAUGCAGUUGAAAUAGUCUGCACUGGAUUUCUCACAACUCAUUUGAUGCUAUUUUCCAGUCAGCACAUCUAGUUCAAGACCCCUCUCUUCCAUCAUUCGAAGCUCUGGAACAUUAAACACUGUCUUGUGUUAUAGUUUGAAUAUGAGAUUACUUAAGUAGCUGUGAAUAUCUCAGCAACAUAUCUGCUCUACAAAGGGAACACACAUUUGGAUGCUGCCUGAAAUGCUAAUAUUUUACAGAGAAUUAUAUAGAGCUGUUCAUUAACUACUUAUUUUUGCCUUUGUGCAAUAUUCUACAAAAUAUGUUUCUAAACUCUAGUUCAGCAACUAAACCAGUGAUUUUAUUUGAAGUGCAGCACUAAAGAGCUGGCGUUUAAAACAUUUAGCUCUGAUUUUGCAUUUUAAAAGUAUGCUAAUAUUACGAAGGAUCAAAUUGCUAGAAUGUUUUUAUGGAAUGAGAUUUUUUGUUAAAGUUUACAUAGCAAAGUAAAAUUGGGUAUAAAUAGAAUGUAGUCAAUUAAUUCAUUUAAGCUAAUUUAUAGAUUAGACUACAUUCUGUAUCCCAUGAAAAUUAAUAGGAGUCCUCUUGCUUUGAUUUAUAUGGUGUCCAGAUAUCAUCUCCUAAAUUUGGCAUAUCUUUAGUAUGUGUCUUAGUGCAAAAGUUGUCUGAUGUGACUACAUGAUUGCUUUCCAAAAAUUUUUACAAUGUAAUGCAUUUUUAAGUACAGUAUUAUGAAAGGGUGUGUGUACAUGUGUCUUUCAUACCAGUUUGAUAUCUGUAUGUGUUAUUAGUGUUACAGCAGCCUAUUAUUAUUCAGGCAAAUAGGCAGUACAUUUGGUGUAAGUAUAGAAAGUAAAAUACCCAUAAGAGUCCUUUACAUAGGCUUCCUUCCCAGUGAGUAAUAGUAUAGCAACCUGAUAAAAGGUAGGUAUUUUGCAUAUAAAUAGUCUAUGGUAAGGACACGUAUAAUAAGGAUACUUUUGUUACACCCAAGCAUAGUUGGAAUUCACCUAUUUUGGAAGUGAUCUUUGUGACCUACUCUGAUUUUCAUUUUUUCUCAUUGUAGAAUCUUAUUCCAGACCAUACAUUGCUAAUAUCCUUGCUAAUUUUAUUGUUAAUGUAUUGCUAAUAUCACACGUUGCUAAUGACUGCUAUUGGGUAGCCAUUUUUAUACUGAAAACAAAAACAAAAACACAGAAGAAAAAACAACAGCAACAAAAAAAACAUAAAUAGGGAAGUUGUAGCCAAACUGUGCAAUGUGGUUGCUUUUAUGAUGAAGCAAAAAGCCCACUGCACUAAAGAUCAUGAAAAUGCCAACUAUACUCCCAAUUGUGACACUGGCCUGCUGUCUGCCCUUGAGCAAGUUACAUCAUGAGUCUGUAUCUUGGUAUGAUCACACAGUGCAAUACUUAGCUUCCUUGGAGAAGCGUUUUAAGAUUGACAAAUGAAAACCUACUAUAUAAUACACUAUCAAAUGUAAUUAUUAUCGAGUUACCAGUUACCAUUAUUGAGUUAUUAACUUGGCAAAAAUGUGUCUAGAACAAAAAGGGCAGCAAGAUAAAAGCAAAUACUGAUAAUGUCUCUGUUCUUCCCUCUGUGUAGACAUUGGAUGGUAACGGAAACAAAUCCUUCAUGUGUUGUUUGAGCCCAGCAGGGAAACAGAAAUGCUUUCCAAAAAGAGAGAAAAUAUAGAAAAAUGCAAGCAAGAAAGGAACUAAUCCUUCAUAUUUAUCUAGGAACUCCUGAACCCCAUUUAGAUAGGUAUAUUCUUUCUUGGGGCAAAUGACUUAAUUGAAAUUAAUGUUAUAUGAUCUAUAAAAAUAUUUUUUCAGGUCUCUUGGCUUUCCUAAAUGAAAAUUGAACUUUCUAAGGCCUUUCUCUACAACAUAAGUUUAUUUUUAGUAUCAUGAAUGCCUAAUAAAGAAUGUUUUAUCCACCUGUAGGAAAGUUAUUCAAACCUUGAAGAAAACACUGCAAAAUAUUGUAUAUGGAAUCAUUAUGUCCCUGCUACAAUAUAAACAUUGCUAGGAGCUAUUCAGUGAUUUUGAAGACAGGAAAGCUAGAACAGCAAAGAGCAGAAAACACCUGAAAAAAAUAUCUGCUCUAAAUACAACUGUAAAAUAUAUUUGUAUAAAUAAUUAAAAUUAAGUUUAACUGUGAUAUCCUAGUUACUUCUUUUAUUUUUGUAUGACACAAUAAUGAGAAAAAGAAACUAGGUAUCUUUAAAGAACAGCACCUGUAGCUGUUUCUUUUGAAAAUGUUGUGAAGAUUUUUGAAGGACAGAAGUGGUUUCAUAAAUGGUGUUAUAAGUUAUUCUAUGUAUUAUUAUUUUUAAAAGUCUUAUUUGUGGCUUCAGUCUAUGCUAAAAAUCAACUUUACAGUAGUAAGUGAAGAGUGAUUCACAUAUGUUGGGUGUUUUUAUUAAGGAAUCGUUUUGAUUAUGGCUGAAACUGACUCCUCAAGCCAACCGUCUGUACAAAGAAAAAGCAUUAACUGUAGGGAUAGAAUUGAUUACUGAACAUUCCUGUCUGGUAGCAUAAGUAAAGUACAUCAAGGGAGGUAGAAAAGAAAGACAUGAAUCAGCAAUCAGAGAAGACAGGGCAAAAGAGACCUGAGAGGUCAUCUAAUGCAUCCCUGCCUCAAGGUAAGAUCAACAAUACCUAUGUCAGUCUUGACAGAUGUUUGUUUAAUUCUUUUUAAAUGCCUGCAGUAAUAGAGAUUUCCUAACUUCCUUGGCAUAUUAUUUCAGUUGGUAACUAUCCUCACAAUUCAGAAGUUUUCCCCAACUCCUAACCUAAAUUUUCUUUCCUACAGCUUAGUUUUCUCUUAUUCUCCUAGUGAGUAUCAAGAAGAACACACUCCACUAACAUCACAGAAACCUUUCACCUUUUUUGAAAAUUGCUACCAUAUUUUUCUUGGUGAAACAGCUCCAUUCCUUGUCAGCCUCUCUCAUUUCUUGAACAUUUGGAGUGCAAAUGGAGACUCUAAAAAGGAAGAUUCUUUCCUCCUUGUGGAGAUGCAGAAAGUUCAGUUUUCUCCUUUGUCUUACUCAAAUCAAAUUCAAGCCCCAAGAGAGCUUGUGAAAGCAUAUUCUCACCUUUACCUCAAAAGAUUAUCUGUGAAUGAGUACUGGUUACAGUAAAACAUGGAUUACGGGUUGGUGGUAACCCAUCUAGCCAGUGCAUUCUUGUUGGGCUGCAUCCUUUAAGUGCUGGUUGUAACUCAAGUGGGUUUUACACCUGUGUUGGCAACAACUGAGUUACUGAACUUGAUCUCAUUGAAGCUCUUUGUUUUAUCUUCUGAAGUAUUUUGUCUUUGCAGUGUGUAUGUGUGUUUUCUACAGAAACUCAGCACAUCUGAGAAGGCUGCAUCUGGUGUAUGGAGGCAGAAGGGGAGGCAAGUGCUAGUCAAGUUCAGAAUUUGCUGCUCAACAACAGAUGUAUUUGGGGCAAAUAAUCAACCAAGCAGCUGAGCUUUAAUUUCAGCAUACCUGCAGAAAGCUCAGGAAAGUCUGGGCCAGCCACGUGCAAAACUAUGUCCCAGAGUUGAGCAGUGAUGAAACUAGCCUUUCUGCGAUGGGAAAGGAGGGAAAGCUCGAAGUAUAACCAAAGAGCAGCAGCAGGGUAUGGACAGAUGAGAGGCCAUCACUGGUGGUGCAAAUACCAUCCUGUGGACCUUCCGCUUGUCCUCCAGAUACCAAAGGGUCAAAGAUGACAAGAGGCCAUCCUAAGUACCUUGAGUAGAUUGCAAAAUGAUGUUUUGUUACAGGAAAAAGGGAAGUGUAGCCAAUAACUAACCCCUCCAAAUCACCUUUUUUUUUUUUUUUUUCCUUUUUCUUUUCCUGAUUAUGUGAAUUGCCUUUAAUUGGUAUGAAGAACAUAAUAAAUAUUUUGUUCUUCCAAGAAGUUGUUGUUCAACAUCUCAAACUUUUCUUUAAAAAAUUUAGGCCAGCUCCAAAAUACUCAGAAGUGUGACUUCAUUGAAUGCUCUUAAAAUCCAUAUUUAGUUCCCAAAUAAGUAGCCUAAUUUUCCGUAACACUGUGUAAUCAGUAAGUCUCAUUGACCUCCCUAAGAGUGUCUGCCUUCUCAGCAUUUCCAAAAAUGAAAGCAAUGUGUGUUUUUUUCUGUAGUCAAAUAUACUCUGAGAGUUUUAACUUCUUAGUAUUUUUGAAAGAAAGUACUUUAUAAGAAGGUAUUGAACUUUCUCUGUUUAUGUGUUGUUUGAGGGACAUAGCCAGGAUGAAUAAUUGCAUGUGUUUGUCUUCAGAUAAUUAUAUAUUAUUUUAUUCUAAGUUGAUAUUAAUCUUUUAUUAGAUUUGAAUAACAUGAGAAGAUUAAGCUGUCUUGGGCUGUGCAGGAAAUAAAAGAACGGUUGUGGAUUUUGCUGGGAAAAUGUGUGGAAAUUUCCAUCUCCUUAUUUUAGGUGGUUUGGGAAUUUAAGUGAUGAUCAGAUUAGUGUAACCUCAUUUGGGACUGUACGCACUAGAACCUCCAGUCCUUGGAGUUUUGUCAUUUUGACUCCUAUCUCACACAUUUUUAUCACCUGAAAUAACUUGUUGUCAUGCUGCUACUGAAAGAACCAUUUAUUAUUCUUAGAUCUGCUAUACAAAUAAGGCCAUGAAGAUUGUUAACUGUGUAUUUAUCCUGUGAAAUAUCACAAGCUGUUAUGAGUAUUUUAUUAAACAUGAAGCAUCUCAAUAAAUCUUAUAUCUAAUUUGUAACAAAAGUUUAACUCUGAAAAGUUCAGAUUACAUUCCUGUAAGACUCUUUUUCCAGACAGGAGACGUGAAUUUUCUCUCUUCCUGGUAAUCUUAUGGGAACAAAAUUGUUUGGGAUUUAAACUUCUAUGCUGCAGGUCUUCUGUUUCACUAAUAAUGGUCAAACUUCACUAGCCUACCUCACCCUCCAUAUUUCUCAUUAUUAAGGGUCUGUUCAAGAUAUAUCAUUUCCAUAAAAAACAUAGCAAUAUUUCAUUUAAAUGGUACAGAAAAGCUUUGCAAAACCGUACAGUUCCCUUGGCUUUGAUAAUGUCUUUUACAUUUGCCUUGAACCUUGAAGACAGGGUAGAUGAGCCUGCAAGACAGUUCUGUACAAAGGAAGAGAGGUAACAUGCUAACAAGGAAAAUCUUAUUGUAAUAUGCAGCCCUGAGGCUGAAACAUAUUUUAAAAUGCUAAAAAAAGUUCUCUUUCCACCUGUGUGGUGCUCUGUACCUUCCCAGAGUGUCUUUCUGGAGGCCUCAAGGUAUUCAGGGAUGAAAAGCUGUGUAAUGCCUGGAACAUCACUUGCCGGUGUUUGCCUCAGAAAGAAAUCCCUGUGCUUACACAUCAAGAAGUGGCAGCAUUCCCUUUAUUGCAGUGGCUGAGCAGUUCCCACCUCGUUUCAGAGAGAAAGGGGGACCACAAUGCCCCAAAUCAGGCAUGGCCGUGGGGGCUGGCAGCAGUGCGGGUGUAGCCUGGUAUGUAUUACUGGAAUGCAUGGCUGUAAAACACGGUGAUGCAGAUUGGGAGGUCUGGCAUUGUUUUGAAGUCUUCUGAUGCUUACUUUAUAUUUCCAAUAUCUUCUUGAAUCUCGUUUUCAUGCCCCUCCAAGUGUUGAGGUUUCCACAGUUUCAUUAGGAAAAACACUCAAUGUUGUAAUUGCUUCAACGUACAUUAAAACAACUAGUAAUUCCCUUUCAUUUUAGCUGCUUUUUUAUUUUAUGGUCUAAAGAAAGUUGUAUACAAUUAUCCAUUAAAGGAUAAUACCCCUUUUUAAUUUUCCUCUGAUUUUUUUUUUUUUUUUUCCCUCUUAUUGCCAGUAUCUUUAUGGUAAUAGAAAUGGACAAUUCUGAUAUGUUGCUAUAUACAUUUUCCUAAUGAGUCUACUUUUCUGCAGCCUUGCAUCUUUCCCAUGUUUUACACCCAGCCAAUGCAUUGAAGAGUGAUACCAUGCCAGGAUACUUCUGUUAGCAUCCACUUUGCACAGAAGAAAAUACAUUGAGCAUGAGAGCUGAAAGAUCUGACCAGAAGUUAUGCUGUGGAAACUGAGAACUUACAGCAAUUGCAAUAUAAUAAAGUAGCCAUUUGUAUGUAGAGUUUGUUGCAGAAACCAGUUAGAUACUAUCUGUGCAUAUAAAAUAAGCUCCUUAUGAUUUAUUUUUGUUUAAACUCAUGGUGCAACAUCAUUCAGUAAUACUAUUUUGUAUUUCUACAAAAGUCAUAUUUGCACUGAAAUGCAAACAUGUUCAGGUAAAAAGAUGAUGGAUACUACAGGUGAGAAAUAGCUUAUUUAUAGUGAUUUAAAUGGAUUUUGGUUGGGCUUUGAUUGCUAUAUUUUAUGAUACAUAGAAAAUCCCUCUUUUGCUAGACUUUUUACUCUUGAGAAACUCAUGUAGAAUUAUUUAUAAGCUACUUCUCAUAUAUCAUCAGGAAAAUUCCUUAAUUUUAAUUCCUGUCUUCCAGAGUGACUGUGGGUCCCUUCUUUUGUAUUCUAAGAUUUCAUGUCACCACUGAACAGAUGAAGUAAUAUACCUCUUUGCAAGCUCAAAUGUGAAACAAUGUUAUGUUUUAGUAGUAAAAACAAUUAAGUUGAGGAAGCAUUUCACAUCACUAAUUCCUGUGUUAUUUUCAUUACAAGCAAUAGUUCUCAAAGCACCAACAGUUGAACAUGAAAAAUAAUACACUAAUAACUUCAGUGAGUGGAAUCUGUGUCCAUAUGAUAAUUGAUUACAAUUCUAGGAUCUGAUUUCAUUUCAAACAAUGCUUCUGAUAUCCAAUAGGACUACAGAACACAGAAAAUAUUGAAAACUCAUUUUAGAAUGUAAAUUCUAAUAAUUACCAAGGGGUGCAUGUAUGGACCUUAAAUUUAUAGUGUGGGAUGAAUAAGUAAGUGAGAGAGUUUUCAAAUGAAAAUAUAAAUUAAAAUAAAUAAUUUACUUUUAUUUACAAGCCAGUUGCUGACAUUUAAAUAAGAGAGUUUGGCAUUUCAUCAACAGGGACCCUCAGCUAAAUACAAAAAGUGUGUCUGAAAAUGUUUGUAUUCACAUGGCGCAAACAACCAUGAAAUGACUGUUUAAUCAGGAUAUUUGGGAUGCUUGUUCUUGUGUUGUGAAUGAGGUAUGGUUGAUCAGAAGGCACUAGUAAAUGAUUGGUGAUUUGAUACUUGUUUUGUGUUGUCUAAUCCUGGUAUGUUUAAAAAACGAAACAAACAAAAAACUCAAAACACUUAUUUGCAAAACUACUGAGAAGUGCAUGAUGCCCUACAAAAUCUGUAUGGUCUUCUCCCAACCAGAGCAACAGGAGCUAUGACACUGGGUAUUCACAGACCCAGUAGGGAGGAAUUUUAUCUUAGAAAGAGAAUUAUAAGUUGAGUUUUCUCCAUGUCAUAAAUAAAAACAGAACUGCAAACAUAAAAUGUAAUGAUAUUUUGUACAAAUUUACUUUUGUUACUGCUUUUCCAACAUUUUAAACAUCUAGUGCAUCUGAAAUCAUCUGUCCUUUUAGGAAGAUAAUAAACCAAACAAUAGUAGUCUGUAUUGUGAAUUAAUUAAAAGUACAGCAGUGUACUUUACAAUGGACAGAAAGCAUACAGGGCUAACUAGAUGGUUUUAAAUAGUGAUGAAGUACAAACUGGACAAGAAGAGUCUUUGUUCAUAUACAUUUAGAUUUCAAACUAAGAGAAAAAACGUAUUUUAUGAUUUUUUACCACUACCUGGUGACCUUUAUAGCAUGGUAUGAACUGAAAAACAUGCGUUUCAGUGGGUGGAUGGGAUGGAAGGGAUGUCAAAUGCUAUGUAGUGAAGAUAUCGCAGCAUUUCAGACAUAUUAUUAAUAAGAACAGAAUUCAGUUGCCUAUAUGAAAAUAACUCCUGACCAGGCAAGAAAGACAAACAAGAUUGUUCUUUAUAUCAGUUAAAAUACAAAUUGUCCUGUGAUUAUUUAGAGUUUUUAGAAGAUAACUUCUGUUUCAUGUGGCAUCAGUGUUCUUGGCAUCUCUCACCAUGGUAUGCAGUUCUGGACUCAGGCCAGAUUAAACAGCCAAGUAGCUCUGCCUUUUGAUCCAAAGGCACAGGAGAGUAGCAAAAAUAAUUCUCCAAUGUCAAAAUCUAUUUUCUUACUUUCUGCAGUAGUUAACAUUUCGUGAUGUAUAUGCACAAGCUCAUAAUCAUAUAAUGAAACACAGUUUGUUUUAUGAGGCUACAAGGACAUAUGUGGGAAAGAAAUAUGAUGCUUUUUUUUUAUUUUAUUUAGAUUUGCAGCAAUGAAAAUUAUUCAUACUUUGCAUGAUGUUUGAAGUUACCAUUCUGAAGUCUUGCUAUGUCUGUGCUAUGUAAAAUGAGUAUUGGUGUUACAUCAGUAACACAUCACGGUGUCUCAUUAACACUAACUGACUCCCAGAAUUUCUGAUUUUUGUCCUCUCUACUUCUUCCAUAGGAACACUGUGAGUCUUGUGAGUUUGUUCUCAGUUUUGGGAAGGUGUUUUAAAACAGUUCUUGUUUUGUUGCUCUGUGGUGUAAUCAAAUGACAUCCACAGAGAUUAAGGGAAUUGACAAAUUCAUAUUUAUUAAUUGACAAAUUCAUAUUUCACAAAUACAUAUAAUGUCUGCAAUAGGAUAAUUAAUAUCUUAUUUUCUCAUUAAGUUCAAUAUGUUAUUCUUGUAUAUUUAAAGCAUUUCAGUAUUUUAGACUUUUCUUAUUCUGGAAUUCACAGACUAUUUUGUUUGUCAGAAAAUUUGUUUCUAAAAAUCUAUAAUUAAAUUUAUGAAAGUUUAAUUUCAGCAAAAGAAAAAAAAAAAACAACUUAUGAAAUGGAAUUGUUCUCUGAACUUUUAACAGUAAAAUUGGUUCUUUUUUCAAUUUCAUUUGACAGCCUGAAAUCUGAAUACUUUCUUAUACUUCUUGUAGUCCUGUAAACCCAUUGCUGGUGGUCAUCAUUUCAGGGAUCAGUAACAAGAUAAAGCCUUCAUUGUUUAGAAAAAUGGUUGCUCUCAAACGAGUUUGUGUUUCAUCUAGAGAUUAAACCAAAAAAGCGGAAAGUCUAAAGCAACACUUUCUGAGGUUCAACUGGAAGUAUUUGAGUGAGUAUGAUGAUGUGUGAGUUGUAUUUUCAUACCAAAAUAUCCUUAGAAAGUUCAUGAAAGCCCUGUGGUGAAUGUUGUCAUUUUGGUAGCUAAGGUAGAAGAUGGUGGAUAUUACCUUCUGGCUUUGACAUUGCUAGAUUUGCACUAGUUUAAAUUUGGUUGAAUAAUUACUGAAGUCUUUGCGAUAGCUUCUAACUUUAAAGCAGUUUUCAUUGUUGUUAUUAUAAGGUUUAAAAAUAAUGUUAUUAUAAUAUUUUAAAAUAACUUUUGGCCUUUUUAUUUUAACAUAUUCUUCUAAGGAAGUCCUGUUUAUAAAGAAGAAAAUGUCUCUCAUUCCCAUUUCACAGUUAAACAGAAACACAGAGGAUUUAAGUGACUUUCCACAGAAAGAAGCAACUUUCUUGAUAUGAUGAGUUGAUUAAGUUUCACUGUAUAUGACUGUCUUGUCAGCACAACAUGGUUUUUCUGUCUUUUGACAUUUUAAGUUGUAUCUUGAAGCCUUUGUCAGUUUCCUUACUGCAUUUUCACUGGCUAUCAGAAUUUCAAGGAGUAAGUUUUGUACAGUACUCAGAAUUGUGAACAUGAUAGCAGAUCUAACAUUCAGACCAUGCAAUGAAAUGGUCCAUGAAGAGGAGGUCAAAGACAUAGUAACAUCUGACAAAAAAAGAGCAUGUGUUGGAUCAGAGCUGAUGGACUAAUCCUCUCUCUUGAGUCCCUGAGCACAUUUUCCAUUCUAUGUAUCUUGAGAAGGAAAGAGAAGCACAUGCCUGGAUUUGGUAUUUGAUGACCAUAGGGUGAAGAACAAAAUAAUAACUGUAAAUAGGCUUUUGAGUAGUAAAGUCACCAUAAAGGAUGCUGAUGAAAGUUGUUCAAAACAUUGGUUUAAUUGUAGGAAGGGACAUGACACAAAUAGAAGUUUUGAAAAUAAGGAGAGGUGUUUGAGAAGCAAGAUCUGGAACAGAAUGAAUGAGGAACUCGAAUGUGGGAAAGAUUUAGGAAACAAACAAACAAACAAACAAACAAACAAAACAGGAAGAUGUGGUGAGCCUUCCUUGACUUUUCAAAGAUGAUAAUUUCAAUGACUGAAAUUUUCCCCCAUACAGAAUAUCAGGGUGACAGGAUGAGGCUCGCUACAGUGAUCAGGACCAGAGGUGAAAACGUCUUGGAUGAGAAGUAUCAGCUUUGUGGACAGACAAAAAUAGUCUUACUAGGGUGGGUGAUGAUUCAGGCUGGACCUCAGUGUUGCAGGACUACCUACCUCAGCUGCAGCAUCUUGCUCCAUUAAUCACCUCUAAUUCAGUGUUUUAAUUUUCUAAACCCACCUGCAGCUGAGGGUGGACUGGUAAUAUUGAAUGAACAUAAAUAUGUGAUUAUGAUCCAUUUGUAAUAAAAUUGGGUAAAGACACCCUCUCCUGUGUGUAGGAGAGUACUUGUGCCCUAGUGCUGCAGAGAGCCCUGGGUGGCCUGGAGUCUGCCUAGUAAACCAGCCUGUGCAGCUAGCAUGCAAAGGGACUGGGGAAAAAGACUUUUCACUGCCAACCUUGAAAUCCCUGCAGCAGGACCCCAGGCACUGAGUGAGAAUAGUUGUGUAUAGUCCAAUUUUAAAAAACUUCAGAGUCCAGAAAGAUUUCAGCAGAUACAUUUUUUUGUCUGAUUUUUGCUGCCCGGUGCCAUACAGAUAGGUUUGCUGAAGUAUUAGCUAUCACUUUAAAUUCUUCUCGCUUUGAGUCAUUCCAUCCUGUAUAUAAUUUGAACAGGUUUUUGCAUAAUUAUUUCUCCUAAUAAUUACCAUUAUACAAUUGCUAUAGCUGCCAGUUUUGUUUUUCUUUUCUGCCGGAGAAUAGCAGAAAUGUAUUACGCAUUUGUGUAACUUAUGAUCUUUGAUUCAUGUUUAAAAUGCAUGGAAUAUUUUUCAUUUUCUGUUUGAGGCAAUACCUCAUCUGGGAUCAUAUCUCACAGUGUAAGUUUACACUGUUUAAAUGGAUGCCUUGUACUGCAACUGGGUAUAAUCUACAAUGAAAAAGCAAAAGAGGUCAACAGAAUUGAAUUUUUUAAGGCGUUAGAGGACUGGCAAAUAUUAAUGGCAGCAGGUAGAAGCAUACUGCAGCUGGACUGUAACGCAGAAAGCCUUUGUGUAUUUUUUUUUCCUUUUAAAUAAAUUUGAUUUGACCAUCA